GACGAACGCUGGCGGCGUGCUUAACACAUGCAAGUCGAACGGGAAGGCCCUGCUUUUGUGGGGUGCUCGAGUGGCGAACGGGUGAGUAACACGUGAGUAACCUGCCCUUGACUUUGGGAUAACUUCAGGAAACUGGGGCUAAUACCGGAUAGGAGCUCCUGCUGCAUGGUGGGGGUUGGAAAGUUUCGGCGGUUGGGGAUGGACUCGCGGCUUAUCAGCUUGUUGGUGGGGUAGUGGCUUACCAAGGCUUUGACGAGUAGCCGGCCUGAGAGGGUGACCGGCCACAUUGGGACUGAGAUACGGCCCAGACUCCUACGGGAGGCAGCAGUGGGGAAUAUUGCACAAUGGGCGGAAGCCUGAUGCAGCAACGCCGCGUGCGGGAUGACGGCCUUCGGGUUGUAAACCGCUUUCGCCUGUGACGAAGCGUGAGUGACGGUAAUGGGUAAAGAAGCACCGGCUAACUACGUG
rnacentral:rRNA from 1 species